UCCCAUAUGGUGUAGUGGUCAACAUUCACGCCUCUCAAGCGUGGGCCCCGAGUUCAAUUCUCGGUAUGGGAA